AAAAAUAAAAACGUUUAUUUCAAAUAAUCUAAUAUGUUAGAAAAUGUAUGCAUAAAAUACAGCUAUAAUUUUUUUGAAUAAAUAUAUCUAAUUGUAUGUGAAGAUAUUUGUAUAAAAAGUAACUUUAUUAUUUUUUUUGAGCACAACUGCUUUUCAAUACUAAAUAGAAUCAAAUCAUUGUUUUAUGGAUCUUUAAAGAACUGAACUUUACAGUCGGUUCAAACAAGACGCAAUAUUUCUUUCAUAUACUUCUUCGUAAGUCAUAAAAUAUCUUUUUGUAAGUCGUUUUUCAACUUAGCAAAAUGUCCAAACAGGUUAGUUAUAAAGACAACAAAACAGGUUAGUUAAAAGUUUACAUUCAUACAUGCAUGUACAUAUUUAUAUAUACAUAAAUUUAAAGAUACAAACUUUUAUAUACACGUAAACCAAAACACAUAUUCAUAUAUAUACACGUACACAUGUACGUAUAUAUAUAUAUAUAUA